rfam:Thalassiosira oceanica strain CCMP1005 To_g38744, whole genome shotgun sequence.
GAAAACGUAGCUUCAAUUGGUUAAAGCGUCGACUUGUCACGUCGAAGAGUGCUGGUUCAAAUCCUGUCGUUUUCG